rnacentral:rRNA from 1 species
CCCAGACUCCUACGGGAGGCAGCAGUGAGGAAUAUUGGUCAAUGGCCGGAAGGCUGAACCAGCCAAGCCGCGUGAAGGACGAAGGUGCCAAGCAUUGUAAACUUCUUUUGUCAAGGGACAAAAUCAGGCUCGAGAGCCUGACCGAGGGUACUUGAAGAAAAAGCAUCGGCUAACUCCGUGCCAGCAGCCGCGGUAAUACGGAGGAUGCAAGCGUUAUCCGGAUUUAUUGGGUUUAAAGGGUGCGUAGGCGGGACGGUAAGUCAGCGGUAAAAAUGCGGAGCUCAACUCCGUCGAGCCGUUGAAACUGCCGUUCUUGAGUGAGCGAGAAGUAUGCGGAAUUCGUGGUGUAGCGGUGAAAUGCUUAGAUAUCACGAAGAACCCCGAUUGCGAAGGCAGCAUGCCGGCUCCACGCUGACGCUGAGGCACGAAAGCGUGGGUAUCGAACAGGAUUAGAUACCCCAGUAACC